rnacentral:lncRNA from 1 species
UUUCUACUUUCAAGACAACAGAAUACAAAUGAAAUAAAUAGAAAAUUCAAAUUAUACAGGGAAAGAAAAUCAGAAAAUAUUGAACAAGAAAUCUACAAUUUGUGCCGUCAAGUCAAAGCAAAUUAUAACUGCCUACGAAGGCUGUCAAUUCAUGCUUGCACGAUCCAUAUCUCUGCAUAUUAUUGACCGCACACUCAGGGAUAUAUUUGUCUCUAUUUUUAAAUGCAUAUCCCUGUCACAUAGGAAAAUAGUAAACAUCAGCAGCCAUUACUCAUGAAAAUAAGCUCAUAUCACUCUCUAUACAAGCUUAUUUUAAUCAUCUUCAUGAUUAAGCUUAUCAAAAUAAGUUAUUUUCAGAUAUUUCAACAAGUUUCUGGGUUUAAAUUUAUAAGAUGAGCUCUCAUAUGAUACGAACAAAUUGAAUAAAUGCUUAAUUAAACUGUUUUUACCCAAAUGCACCCUAAAAUUAAGCCUAGAAUAAAUAUUUCAUGAUUAAUACCCAAAUAUCAAUUUUUAGUAGAUGUAUACAGAACUAGAAAACAACUCAACUUACACAUGGAAUCUGUUGCUUGCCAACAUCGGUGUCGCGGAAUGAAAUCAGGUUUUCACAUAAUCAACCCCGUCACGCUUUCUCUUGUUAGACUUUGAAAAGAAGCACAUCUGAGCCCAACUCUUUUUCU